GACGAGUCCCAAAUAGAACGAAAUGCGCAUCCUGGAU
rfam:Trichobilharzia regenti genome assembly, scaffold: TRE_scaffold0031739